CUCCCGCCGCCGCUCCCCGGCCACAGCGAGGUCCCGUGCGGCGGCUCGGGGACAGACCAGAGGCCCCCGCCGGCUCCGGAGUCGCCGCGGCGGCUGUGACGCCCGAGGCCCCGCUCCCUCCGUAACACGCUCCCCUCCCCUGGAGGCUGCGCUGACCGGACAAUGGCCGCUCCGCCCCCUCCCCUCCGCGCGCACCCCUCCCAAGGAGUGGCGAUGGUCUUGCCCGGGGAAACCACCGCCAAAGCCCAGCAGCUGAUCAGCUGGGAUCCGGGCGUGCCACUUUGUUCCGCGCCUCGGAGUCCGGGGCCGUGGACAACGCCGAGAGCGUUGAGCAACGGGCUUCUGAGGCCUUCGUGUUCUAGGAACUUUCACAAUAUGAGGCAAACUUACCUUCCCCUGUCAGGGGAAGGGGACUCGGUUUCUGAGUACUCUGGGGCGCGUCACCCCCCCCCCGCAAAGCGAAUGGUACGCCCCAAGCGGGCGGGGGAGGAGCAGAUUAGUUGUUUAGGGAUCAAGUGUCCUAAAGAUCACAUAAGCCCAGAGCUGCUGUGGGACCUUCCAUAUGGUACAAGGCUGCCUGGGGAUCAACCCAACAAAGAGGAAGGAAGAGAAAGAGACUGAAUUACCAUAAAUCCAACUAAGUUUGAUGCCAAAACUGCCCUUUCGACUUUGCAGUUAUCUGCACCAAUAGAUACCUUUCCUUAUACACAUACUAUUUGGGUUAGACCUCAGUAUAUUUCUAUGAGAAAAGUCCUGACUAUUCCUAAUAAUAUCUACUUAUAUCAUGGGCUUAUUGUGAAGAUGAAAGUAUAUUAUUCAGGAGGAAAUGUUAGCAUAGUACAAACUCAUUAAACAUAUAUUAUUAUUUGUUUCUUUUUGAUAAUUGCUCAAUUCAGGUAUCCCAUCAUUCAUUCAUUUAUAUUUGUUUAUUCAUUCAACAGACACUUAAUGUUUUUUUUUUUUUUUGUCUUUUUGAGACAAGGUCUCCCUGUGCAGUUCAGUCUGGCCUCGAACUCACUUUGUAGCCCAGGCUGGCCUUGAACUUGCAAUGAUCCUCCUGCCUCAGCCUCUUGAGUGCUGGGAUUACAGGCAUGUGCCACCACACCCAGCAGCAGACACUUAUUGAGCACCUACUAUGUUAGGAACUAACAGAGGUAUUAAGGUACAGUCCAAAUGACACAUAAAUUUCCCUACUUUAGUGCUGCUUAUCCUGUAAUAGUAAUGCAAGCAAUUUUUUUCAAAUGUUUUAAAGAACAGAGCCCACUUUCCAUGUUUGUGAAUAAUUGCAGUGAACAUCUUGGCCUGUCUGUCCUAUUAAUAGCUUGGAUAUUUUUUUAAACAAGGUCUCAUUAUGUUGGCCAGGCUGGCCUCAAGCUCCUGGGUUUAAACCGUCUUCCUGCUCCAGUCUGGCAAGUAGUGGGAACUACAGACUUAAACCACCACCCCUGGCUUUUGGAUAAAUUUUUGUUUGUGUUUUGAAAUAGAGUCUCGUUAUGUAAUUCAGGUUGUUCUUGAACUCACUAUGUAGCCCAGGCUGACCUCCAACUCGCAGCAAUCCUCCUGCCUCGGUCUCCCAGAUGCUGGGAUUACAGGUGUACACCACCAUGCCUAGCUUUUUUGGAUAAGAUUUUUCUAAAAAAAAAUUGUGAUACUCUUUAACAUUCAUCACAUGUGGCCAAAUUUUGUUCCAGAAAGGUUCUGCCAACUCACACUCCUAGCAGUGAAUGAAAACAUAGGUUUCCUGCACCUCAGUAGCCUGAGGAUAGCGUUACUCUUCUCAAUCAUUGCCAAUGUAAAGACAAAACAAAACAAAAAAACCACUCCUAAAGGUUGUUUUAAUUUGCAUUUUUAUUGUUUGUUUGUUUUAUUUGCAUUUUUAGAGUUGUUGAGAUCUAGGCACACGUUAUAUAUAUAUAUGAUAUAUAUAUAUAUCUCAUAGAUGUAUUUGUAAAUAUAUACGUAUAUGUGUAUAAAUAUAUAUAAGUUCUUUAAAUUUUAUUUUUGUAAUGCCUUAUCUAUUUAUGUCCUUUAUCUGUUUUUCCAGGAGUAUGUUUUUUAUUAAAGACAUUAAUGCUCA
ensembl:lincRNA